ensembl:lncRNA LINC02364 long intergenic non-protein coding RNA 2364
AGAACAAGAAAAGGCUCUGAAACAGAUCCAAGAUGUUGUUUGAGCCAUGCAACUAGAAGAUCUCAUAGAACUAAAGUUAUCUAAUUUACAGAAAAGGUUUUACGUGACGUCUAUUGUACAGAUUCAUAUGAAAACCAUAGUUCAAACUCCAAGGUUUAAGAAGUAAGAAAGAUCAUGCCAUUUGCAACAAACAUGCAUGCAUAUUUGAAAAGCAACUGUAAGUAUGCUAUUGGACAUUGGUAAAGAUUGAAUAUCUGACCAUGGCAUAUCAAGAAACCAUGGAAUGAGUACUGCUUAUCAAGAUCUGGGUGUGAGAAGACUUAAAAAGUCAGAUAGUCAGUGAGAACCAGCUAGAAUCCAUGGCUGUGCUAAUGGUCUAUCAAGAUAUCCUGAGUUUCCAGUAGAGAUGUUUCAGCCAUAACACAGGCCUGGUAGAAAAAGCCUGAAGACAAAUACUGCUAUGAAUGGUUACAUCUAGGACUUCUGAAAUUAGCCCCAGAUUCAACUCAUUUUUUUCUGCAUUUGCUGAGCAAUAUGACAUGUUUACACCGAUUAGCUAAAAAGUUAUGUGAAGAAUGGGCAACAAUAUCUCUAAGUAACUAGGAGACCAUGUCCCUUGGCAUAAGUAUUGAUCUUCAAUAAUUUGUCCUUGAUAUUGAGAGAAGAGGAUCAAACUAUUUGAACCGGAUUGCUGUACUUCAACAUGUAAAGUGAAAAUGCAGACCCAGUUGACUAUAUUUCACUCAUUUGGGCCAAAGAAGCAGAAGUUUAUUAACAAAGAAGGAGAAUAACAAAAGAAAUAUAAGAUGGAAAGAAAAGCAAAAAGAAAGAAAACUAAAGAAAAAGCAAAAGAAAGAAUACUAAAUCUGAAAUACAUUUUCGUCCCCAAAUCAAGUUGGUGCAUAAAGUUCAAAUGUUUUCCU